AGCAGCCGCGGUAAUUCCAGCUCCAAUAGCGUAUAUUAAAGUUGUUGCAGUUAAAAAGCUCGUAGUUGAAUUUCGGGAUUGACGUGAUGGUCAUGCCUUAAGGGGUAUGAACUGUUACUGUUGAUUUCUCACCUUCUGGAGAAACUUGAUGUCCUUUAUUGGGUGUCUUGCGGAUCCAGGACCUUUACCUUGAAAAAAUUAGAGUGUUUAAAGCAGGCAUUUUUGCUCGAAUACAUUAGCAUGGAAUAAUAGAAUAGGACGGCAUGGUUCUAUUUUGUUGGUUUCUAGGAUCACCGUAAUGAUUAAUAGGGAUAGUUGGGGGCAUUAGUAUUCAAUUGUCAGAGGUGAAAUUCUUGGAUUUAUUGAAGACUAACUACUGCGAAAGCAUUUGCCAAGGAUGUUUUCAUUAAUCAAGAACGAAAGUUAGGGGAUCGAAGACGAUCAGAUACCGUCGUAGUCUUAACCAUAAACUAUGCCGACUAGGAAUCAGACGAUGUAAUUUUUUCAAUGACUCGUUUGG
rnacentral:misc_RNA from 1 species